AAUACAAAAGGAUAGGGAUCCAACCGACAAACUGACACAAAUUUGAGUUCAAGAAAAUACUUCUCCUUCUCUUUUUCCUUAUUUUCCUUCUCUAACUUCUCCUUCUCCUUUUUCUUGUC
rnacentral:ribozyme from 13 species